CUAUGGCAGAUACUGUUGACUGACUAAUUAUUCCUUGCUAAAGGGACCCUAAUUUUUUUCCCCCAGUGCAGAUCCUUUGAUUCCAUGGAAGGCAUGCCCAAGUCUAAGGUCCUCCUAAUACUCAACUGGUUUGGGAACCAUCGGGCCCAGUGAUCUCUGAUGCUCCUUCCAACUUGUAGGAUGUGAAUUCCUGGGUUUAGUUAUAUAAGAGCUAGGAAUGACCAAGGCAAAACUUCCAUCUACUUGCAUCAGAAUGGAGACGCAGAUGCAGAUGACGAAUUAAAGGGACUCAAGGAAGGUCCCUAUUCUGCCUUGAAUUUGUUUUCAUGGUUCUCCGAGAAGUGUCUAGAGGUGAGAAAGUCAAUUUAACUGAUUAUUUUCUAAAAAUAGAAUAAACAGAAAAUUUUGUUUAAAAAAUAUUUUCUUAGCAUAGUGAAGUACAACAUUUUCUAUAGUUAUCCACAGUACUUUAAGAAAUUUACAAUGUACUGCUAGAACUUUGAGUGAAACUUAGGAAUUUUAUGUGCUUUGGAUGAAAGAUGACAGCA
rnacentral:lncRNA from 1 species